rnacentral:rRNA from 1 species
GACGAACGCUGGCGGCGUGCUUAACACAUGCAAGUCGAACGGAAAGGCCCUGCUUUUGUGGGGUGCUCGAGUGGCGAACGGGUGAGUAACACGUGAGUAACCUGCCCUUGACUUUGGGAUAACUUCAGGAAACUGGGGCUAAUACCGGAUAGGAUCUCCUGCUGCAUGGUGGGGGUUGGAAAGUUUCGGCUGUUGGGGAUGGACUCGCGGCUUAUCAGCUUGUUGGUGGGGUAGUGGCUUACCAAGGCUUUGACGGGUAGCCGGCCUGAGAGGGUGACCGGCGACAAGGGGACUGAGAUACGGCCCAGACGCGUACGGGAGGCAGCAGGGGGGAAUAUUGCACAAUGGGCGGAAGCCUGAUGCAGCAACGCCGCGUGCGGGAUGACGGCCUUCGGGUUGUAAACCGCUUUCGCCUGUGACGAAGCGUGAGUGACGGUAAUGGGUAAAGAAGCACCGGCUAACUACGUG